CAUAUCAAUAAGCGGAGGAAAAGAAACCAACAGGGAUUGCCCCAGUAACGGCGAGUGAAGCGGCAACAGCUCAAAUUUGAAAUCUGGCCUCCGGGUCCGAGUUGUAAUUUGCAGAGGAUGCUUUUGGCGAGGUGCCUUCCGAGUUCCCUGGAACGGGACGCCAUAGAGGGUGAGAGCCCCGUCUGGUCGGACACCGAGCCUCUGUAAAGCUCCUUCGACGAGUCGAGUAGUUUGGGAAUGCUGCUCAAAAUGGGAGGUAUAUGUCUUCUAAAGCUAAAUAUUGGCCAGAGACCGAUAGCGCACAAGUAGAGUGAUCGAAAGAUGAAAAGCACUUUGAAAAGAGGGUUAAAAAGUACGUGAAAUUGUUGAAAGGGAAGCGCCUAUGACCAGACUUGGGCCCGGUGAAUCACCCAGCGUUCUCGCUGGUGCACUUUGCCGGGCACAGGCCAGCAUCAGUUUGGCGCGGGGGAUAAAGGUUUCGGGAAUGUGGCUCCCUCGGGAGUGUUAUAGCCCGUUGCGUAAUACCCUGCGCCGGACUGAGGUACGCGCAUUGCAAGGAUGCUGGCGUAAUGGUCAUCAGCGACCCGUCUUGAAACACGGACCAAGGAGUCGUCUUCGUAUGCGAGUGUUCGGGUGUCAAACCCCUACGCGUAAUGAAAGUGAACGUAGGUGAGAGCUUCGGCGCAUCACCGACCGAUCCUGAUGUUCUCGGAUGGAUUUGAGUAAGAGCAUACGGGGCCGGACCCGAAAGAAGGUGAACUAUGCCUGUAUAGGGUGAAGCCAGAGGAAACUCUGGUGGAGGCUCGCAGCGGUUCUGACGUGCGAAUCGAUCGUCAAAUAUGGGCAUGGGGGCGAAAGACUAAUCGAACCUUCUAGUAGCUGGUUUCCGCCGAAGUUUCCCCUCAGGA
rnacentral:rRNA from 1 species